CCUACGGGAGGCAGCAGUGGGGAAUAUUGCACAAUGGGGGGAACACUGAUGCAGCGACGCCGCGUGAGUGAAGAAGUAUUUCGGUACGUAAAGCUCUAUCAGCAGGGAAGAAAAAAGGACGGUACCUGAGUAAGAAGCCCCGGCUAACUACGUGCCAGCAGCCGCGGUAAUACGUAGGGGGCAGGCGUUAUCCGAAAUUACUGGGUGUAAAGGGAGCGUAGACGGCAAUGCAAGGGCGGAGUGGAAUGCGGCGGGUCAACGGCCGAACUGCAGUUGAAACUGUAUGGCUUGAGUCCAGGAGGGGUAUGCGGAAUUCCUGGUGUAGCGGUGAAAUGCGUAGAUAUCAGGAAGAACACCGAUGGCGAAGGCAGCUUACUGGACUGUAACUGACGUUGAGGCUCGAAAGCGUGGGGAGCAAACAGGAUUAGAUACCCUUGUAGUC
rnacentral:rRNA from 1 species